ACGUAGUUAGCCGUGGCUUUCUGAUUAGGUACCGUCAAGACGUGCACAGUUACUUACACAUUUGUUCUUCCCUAAUAACAGAGUUUUACGAUCCGAAGACCUUCAUCACUCACGCGGCGUUGCUCCGUCAGGCUUUCGCCCAUUGCGGAAGAUUCCCUACUGCUGCCUCCCGUAGGAGUCUGGACCGUGUCUCAGUUCCAGUGUGGCCGAUCACCCUCUCAGGUCGGCUACGUAUCGUUGCCUUGGUAAGCCAUUACCCCACCAACUAGCUAAUACGGCGCGGGUCCAUCUAUAAGUGAUAGUAAAACCAUCUUUCACUUUAGAACCAUGCGGUUCUAAAUAUUAUCCGGCAUUAGCCCCGGUUUCCCGGAGUUAUUCCAGUCUUAUAGGUAGGUUACCCACGUGUUACUCACCCGUCCGCCGCUAACGUCAAAGGAGCAAGCUCCUUAUCUGUUCGCUCGACUUGCAUGUAUUAGGCACGCCGCCAGCGUUCAUCCUGAGCCAGGAUCAAACUCU
rnacentral:rRNA from 1 species